rnacentral:lncRNA from 1 species
GUGGAACUGUGCUGUCCCAACUGACUGUGGUCCUAAUAGAUGAGCAUCCGGGCACCUUGCAGUCUAAUGCGUCCUGUCUUUGCAGUGCCCAAGGGAGCCAGGGAAGUGCUGUCAUCUCGCACAGGAAACAUGGCAGAGCAAUGAACUAAACCCGGGUUGCCAGCGCAUUAACAACAGGUGGCAUGUCCCUCCAUCUGCUUUCACCUGGGUCAUGAUGUUUGAGGAACAUUUUCCCCUCUUCACUUUUAACACUUCAGUAAAUUAUGUGUGGCUCUUCUCUGCUUUCAGGUUCACUUCCGAUUCCCCCCCACCAUUACCUGGGGCCUGUGACCAGGGCUUGCAUUUCCUUCAAAGGGUGACUGAAUUUCUUUGUCUGGAUAACUCAUAUGCUGCACUUGAUGUCAUCAGGAAGCAGCAGUGACCCCAGGCCCGAGUUAGUGGAGGGUGAUUUGGAGGCCCAGACGGUGUGAAGUGGUGCCUUCAUUUGGAGACCAACAUCUCACCAACCCCACCGCAGUGCGAUGCUUCUGCUGAUUUUCCUCAAUGAAGAACUCAUGGAUUUGAUGCUGAGGAUCCUGCUGUCCCAAUGGUUGCUGUGUCCCCAGCUGCUCUUUGCAGCUUGUGUGCAUUUCAUUUCACAGCCUGAUCAUCUCCCAUUCUGAACCUGACAGUACAGGACCUCAGGGCAACAUUUCCUCAUUGCUUUAGGGCUGGGAAGAUGUGCAGCUCUGAGACAGAUCCUUAUUGUGCCCUUGCUAGAUAGGGUCACUAAUCAGGCUGUUAGUGAAAUAACACUUCAGACCCUGGUCGUUCCUGGGCUGUGAAUCCACCAGUCCUACUAAUGUGCCACCCUUCCAGCUUGCUUAAAGCUGGUUCGCUAGGCCCCUGCACUCGGCAAAUAAGUGGCAACAGGAAACUACUCCAAGUCCUCUUUCACUGCAUUAUAUUCAUGACCUUGGCGGCUACUUCUGUUUGAACAACUCCUCCUGCCUACCCCUCUCACUGGCCUUUUGCAGCACGUGCUAAUUUUUUAAAAAGAACAGAUACUUGCUUCCACAC